rnacentral:sRNA from 1 species
GGUCCUCUGGCAGAUGUUCAGAAGCUCAUCCGCUGUUAUCAGUGACAAUUCGAUCACAAAGGUUUCACGGCAUCAGUCCCUUCCACAAUACCUGAUCCUCAUCAUAUUAUGCUAGUCCCUCCGGCUACAGAUUUGCUCCAUCAAGAUCACAGCCAAAGCAAUGGCUAACAGGCUACAGCAGGAACUCCAGGCUUCCACAAGAUAGUGCUGAAACUCAAGCUCUAGCAGUAGCAGCAAUCCUCCACUGCAAAGUAGAAAAAUUUCCCCCAGGUGUACUCUAGUCUCGGGCUUCCGUUGUCCAGCUCCAAACUGAAUUUUGCUGAACUACAACCACUGAUUGCGAGAAUUAAUAUCUACCUGGAGGGAUGGCAAGCUCUUUUCAUGAAUUAUGCAGGAAGAGGGGGUUCUGGUUAACUCGGUGCUUGAUAGCCUGCCUGUAUAUGUAAUGACAACCAUGCAGCUUCCUCAGGGAGUGAUCUGACGCGAUCGACAAAAGAAGGAAGGCUUGCCUUCCUGUGGUCAGGUGAAGAGAAAAGCUCAGGGGCACGAUGCUUAGGGCCUAUUUUGGGGUGUUAGGCGCCGGCCCUAAAUGGCACAGCGCGUAGCUGUGCUCGACGGGAGGGGUGGUGGAAACUAACAGGAACUGAGAUUACUUCUUUCUUGAUUCAUUACUCAAACCGAAUGGCCUAUGUAGCCUUACAAUGGAAACCAAACAGCUACUAACAAGGAACUAACAAAC